rnacentral:lncRNA from 1 species
ACUUCUACCUCUGGUAUAGUGGACCAAGAGUAUAAUCUCUUAGUUUAGCCAGCCGCCAAUAAUUUAUUCGGACUUUGUGAUAUACAAGAGUUCUCACCUAACCCGUUGCUUACAAACUCGUAGUGGUCUAGGGAAUAAUUAAUAUGGGUUAUGUGAAAAGACUACAUCUGAACGGCAGUUUAGCUUAUUAAGUUAAGACUCCAAUUAGUCGCCGUAGUUUUUAAGAAAGAAAGGUCAUUAAUAAAGUAAUUUUCAGGGUUUACUUCACUCUUUUUCUUUAAUUCUAUUUUUUUUGUCUUGUCUGUUUGAUAUGGAUGAUAAUCGAUAGCAUUUACGAUAUGAAUACUUUU